CUCUAAGAGCGGCGGACGAAACUCACGCUGGGCUCGACCAAUCAGAGAGCCUAAACAAUCCAACUUGAAUACCCACAAUUCCGUGCGGUUAUGGUGGUGCAUUAUAUGCAAAUUGUAUAAACACGAAAACGACAUUUGCUGCUGCUGGGUGCUUGUCAUCCAGCAAGCAAGGCAUCAAAUUCUUCAGCUUUCCAAGGGAACCAGCAAGUGUGGUGCUGUGGUGAAUACCUGACAACAGCUGUUUGAUGAUCACCUUGUGAACACAUUUGAAGCUAUUCGUUCGUAGUAUGGUUUGAACAAUAAUCCAACUGUGGGACAGUUUGUAGAUGCCCUGAAGACUAACAUCAUCAGUGCACUUGCUAUCAGAGGUCUGUGUGGAACUAGUUGUCAGAAGAUGAUCAGAGUUCAUUCUGCCCUGUAUCUGAAAAUAAUUAUAUUUCAGUCAAGAACUGUGUGGGAAAUUCUUUUCUGACUGAGAUGGCUCUUGUUUAUGUGUGUGGGUAAGAGUGAAGUGACAUUACUUUAUAAUUGACUUGCAAUCUUCAGGUUACCUGAUUCAGCGUGAAACACCGAGGAGCAGAAUCAAUGUCAGGUUAUAUUUUGUAAUUAAAUUUAUUAACUACUUCCUAGGUAGGAAGUUUUACUUAUUAUACAUGUAAAUAUUAUAUGUCUACAUAUUAUAUUCAUCUGAUUUGUUGUUAUGGAUAUAUCCCUUCAGUCAUUGCAUUAUGUUUGCCAUAUUAUUAUGUUCAGCAUUGAACUUAUGAACGUAUCACAACCCUAUGGGCCUUCACGGCCUGUUACAGGGAUAGCUUUACUUUACUUACUUUACUUUUAUAUA